GCGCCCUUAGCUCAACUGGAUAGAGCAUCAGACUUCGGAUCUGAGGGUUAGAGGUUCGAAUCCUCUAGGGCGCGCCA
rnacentral:tRNA from 1 species